AGUGAACGCUGGCGGUAGGCCUAACACAUGCAAGUCGAACGGCAGCACAGUAAGAGCUUGCUCUUACGGGUGGCGAGUGGCGGACGGGUGAGGAAUACAUCGGAAUCUACUUUUUCGUGGGGGAUAACGUAGGGAAACUUACGCUAAUACCGCAUACGACCUACGGGUGAAAGCAGGGGAUCUUCGGACCUUGCGCGAUUGAAUGGGCCGAUGUCGGAUUAGCUAGUUGGCGGGGUAAAGGCCCACCAAGGCGACGAUCCGUAGCUGGUCUGAGAGGAUGAUCAGCCACACUGGAACUGAGACACGGUCCAGACUCCUACGAGAUGCAGCAGUGGGGAAUAUUGGACAAUGGGCGCAAGUCUGAUCCAGCCAUACCGCGUGGGUGAAGAAGGCCUUCGGGUUGUAAAGCCCUUUUGUUGGGAAAGAAAAGCAGCAGGUUAAUACCCCGCUGUUCUGACGGUACCCAAAGAAUAAGCACCGGCUAACUUCGUG
rnacentral:rRNA from 1 species